rnacentral:rRNA from 1 species
UACGUAGGGGGCAAGCGUUGUCCGGAUUUACUGGGCGUAAAGAGCGUGUAGGCGGCCACGCAGGUCCGUUGUGAAAACUGGAGGCUCAACCUCCAGCUGUCGACGGAAACCGUAUGGCUAGAGUCCGGAAGAGGAGAGUGGAAUUCCUGGUGUAGCGGUGAAAUGCGCAGAUAUCAGGAAGAACACCCGUGGCUAAGGCGGUUCUCUAGUACGGUACUGACGCUGAGGAGCGAAAGCGUGGGGAGCAAACAGG